UACACUUGGAUGAAAGCUGGAACUAGACUAACUAAAUCUGAUUGUCCAACUUGCGAUUCCGGAGUGUCCGGCGCUGCAACGUGCAUCUUUACUCGUGUUUGGUGUAACUUCGGUCAUGUGCCGCAGGAUCGUAUUACCGCGUUCCGUGGGAGCUGCCGCUGCGUUGAUGUAGCUGGUAUGUGUCCGCUCCGGUUUCGUUUAUGGGUGUAUGAUGUGCUGACUGGCACAUAACUUCCGUAGCAACGUCCGGCAACGUACACUUGGCUGGCACGUAACUAUAUAUCUGGCUCCUACGCCUUGUUUGUGUCACUAUUCUCUAUUGCUGUUUUUAGUCCACUGUUUUCUUGUCGAGAGAAGGCACAAAAACUUCUUACGAUGUAUUUGUAGAAUUCAUAGAUAUGGAGAAGAAUUUGCUGUUUCAGUAAAUUUUGGUUCAGUAUCAGGAAGCACUUCUUGAUUUUGUAAAAUUUGAUUUAAGAAUCCUACAAAAAACAAGUAUAAUACUGUUUGCUUGACGUGAGUCAUGAGAGCUAAACAUCUAGAGCAUUUACCUAGUAGUACAUAACACGUAACGAUUCUUCUCUAAACAAGAGUGCCUUUCUGAAUCAUUAAAAACAAAACUAGAAACGUUCAAACAAAGAAAUGUGGAUUGUUCACAAAAUUAUCAAAAUAACAACCAUUUGUCGACCCUUGAAUGAUCAAUAACGAAAGAAUGUUAAUACUAUAGAUUGGCUAGAUAGUUAGCCUGUUUGAAUCAAUUUGUUUAGAAUCGCGAAAGUAGAUCAUACAUUCAAGACGCUUGCAACACUCUUUUAAGUUAUGUGCGUUAAACGAGAGAGCUUUACUUUGAAACUUGAACAUUCUUAAUGAAUAUUAUCAACCAGCAACGGACAAUUGUAAAGAAAUGUUAUUUGCAUCAACAAUAAGAACUACAGAACAAAAGAUUGGAUUUGACCACACAACAAAAGAUAGAAUAAUGUAGUGAAAACUGCAAUGUAACGUCAACUUAAAAGUAAAGGCAACGUGAACGUCAACAACGAGUACGAGAUAAAAUUCAGAAGAAUCGUUCAGAAAUCGUAUCGACCCAGCAUCACCAGACAUGAAAAGCAUGACGCAACAACACACCCCAUCAGAGAACGCUUCUUCGCACCCAUGAAACAUCUAGCGGAAUGUCAACUUCAAACGAGAAGAUGCCGUGCACGAUUAAUCUAAAUUCAAGAAUUAAUCAAAAAGAAACGGAGCCCAAAUUCUUCGUCGCCUUCACGAAACCCCUCAAUGAUGGCAGAGUGUUUUCGACUAGCUUCGUCAAUGGGAAUCUGCUGUACGAUGGAAUUGUAUAUUCUAUGAAUAGUAUUAGGAAAUAUGUUGACAUAUAGUUCUUAGGAUAAUAGUGCAGGGAAUUGAAUGAAGAGCAUUGGUAAGAUUAUAUCCUUAAACCAUUUCUCAGCUUGAUCACUUCAAUGAUCCACCAAAACCUUUGUGACUAGAAAACCAUGCUGUCCUGCCAUAACUUGCCACAAAAUAUUACAAAACACUACAAUUGAAUUUGGAAACACCAGAACACAACGUUCUAUAGCAAUAUCACCAUCAGGAGUUCUCCGACAACGUUCUACAGAAACAUCACAAUCCGGAGCUAUUUAUCAUCAGAUAACUUCGGAUCUGACGCUUGGACAGCUCUGACACACAGAUUGAGAGCACAAAAGAGCAUCAAAGUACAAUGGAUCUUUGCAACGAAAAGAAAAGAACGCACCAUUACAACCGAUCAUCCAGCGAACUGAACUCCAAUCACUCACCGAGCAACCGUACGAUAAAGCCGAAGCUAAUACAACAUCACAGCGAAACCAAAUAAGAGCAGAAACAAAGGAAACAUUAAUGACCUGCACAUGUUCCUGUAACCGUCACUUAACGAGUGCAGAUUAAGAUUUAAACUGUGCAGUGCGCAUCAGGUUUCGGAUAGCGCUAAUAGUAAAAUCGAUCAGGCAAUCUCAUAAAUGAAAAUCACUGAUCGAAAGAAUUCUGAUCGAAAUGGCAGCUACCGUGGAGAAAUGGAUGAUCAGCAUUACCGUCAUAGUCUACAACAAUUUAGCAAGGAUACUACAACGAUGAAUAAUUAUCUCGUUGUUGCUGUUUAGGCAGCAAAAAAAUAUUUCGCUGCGUGUAAUAAUUAUAGAACUUCAAAUACCUUGCAAUAGAGCAUUUGCGCAACGCUAUACAGCAAAUAUAAUUGAACGAGAUCGUCAACAACAGAAAGAGAUACAUCAACUUCAAUGUGGAAUAUCUAGAGUCGUGCCGGCGCUUCCGUGGUUUUCAUGGCAAUGGUUGGUGGUGGUAACAUUGAUGGUGAUUAACGCUGGCGAUGCGGUUUAGUAUGGAUAUAGGGCAACCAAAAGCUAAGAAAAGUAUGUAGGGAAUAAGCAUGCAAUAUACAAGUUUUAGUUAGGCAGAAACAAUAGGAGUUAGGAUAUCUUCCUGAACGAAAUAGAAUGGUUUAAGUGGAGCUUCAUAAUGAAAAAAUGCAACGCCAGUUAUCAAAUGAUUAGGUAAAAUAUGCGAUUAGAUUAGAUAACUAAAAUGAAGAUGAAUGAAUAGGGCAUGAGACAAGAACGUUAGAAUUUAGGAGAAAGAAAUACUUGGAAGUAGAAGGGGCUGAUUUAAUAGGAGAUGACGAAUCAAUUAGAUGCUGAUUGUGGAAUCGUAGUAGAAAGUGAAUGAGUUAUGUUUUGUGUUUUGAAUAUGUUAGCAUCUAAACAAACCUUUGAUUAAUGCUUUACUACAUGGUGUUCUCCAGUGUUUCAAUUUUAUUUGCGUUCAUGUUCAGUGUUAACAUCGAUAUUAUUAUAACGGGGUUUCGAUACGUUUAGGUACUGUCAGCGUAUGUAGUACUCUCGUCGUUCUGUUGAAAUUUUAUGAUGAUACAAUGAUACAUGUUCAUUUAGGGUUAUUUUGAGCGGGAAUGGAUUGCAUAUUUCGAUUAUUAUUGUAAUUAUUUGUAAUUUUGAUCAUUUGAAACCUACUAUGUACCAUGGAGAUGGAAUUGUUAAAUAAUUAUUUUUGAAAAUAUCA